rnacentral:rRNA from 1 species
AUGUCUGGUGGGCUCAAGAACAAGAAGAAGAAGGGCCACGAGUGGGAUUUGAACGACUGGAGAUGGGACGGCAACCUCUUCCUGGCCACGCCGUCGCCAAACGCGGACGCUCCGUCAGGGUGCGGCAGCAGGGAGCUUGGGCUAGCAGAGGAGGGGGGCAGUUUUGGUGCUGCUGCUGCUGACAAGAGGAGGAGGAGGAAGAGAGUCACCACAGUGGAUAACCCCGAGGAGUGCAGCAACACUGCGAUUCUUCAUCAUGAAAGGAUUGCUGUUCGGAGAGGACAGAUGGGCGAAGAAGAGGGACCUGCCAGUGCAACAGCAGGUGCAUCUUCCAGCUCUGCUCCAUCUUGCCAAGUCGACGGCUGCCACGCGGACCUCGGCGACGAUAGGGACUACCACAGGAGGCACAAGGUGUGCGAACCGCAUACCAAGUCGACUCUUGUUCGUAUCAAAAACAUCGAGCAUCGGUUUUGCCAGCAGUGCAGCAGGUUUCACCUUGUUCAAGAAUUUGAUGAAGGGAAGAAGAGCUGCCGCUCACGUCUGGCAACACAUAAUAGAAGGAGGAGGAAAGCCCCAGCUGAGGCUGUUAAUUCCUUGGGUGAAAAUCAGUCCUUAACCAACACCUUACUCCUCUUGUUGAGACAACUCGCUGGACAAGAUUCUGCUGCUAGCUCAUCUGAGCAAAUCAAUGGUCCCAAUCUUUUGGUUAGUCUUUUGAAGAACCUUGCUGCUGUUGCUGGCACACAGGCAUGUCAAGAUAUGCUAAAGGAUGCAACCUCAUCAAAUGCUGGUAACUAUGUUGGGAAUCAAAGUGGACCACCAGUUCAUGCAGAAGAGCCUCCUGUGAAAAGACGUGCGCAAAAUUUUGAUCUAAAUGAUGCUUAUGUCGAGGAAGAUGAGAGCCGAACAGAUAAAAUUGUCUUCAAGCUUUUUGGUAAACAGCCAAAUGAUUUUCCUGCGGAUCUACGUGCACAGAUCCUAAACUGGCUGUCACAUUAUCCUAGUGACAUGGAGAGCUAUAUCAGGCCUGGUUGUGUAAUUCUAACUAUUUACCUUCGUCUUCCUAACUGGAUGUGGGAUAAGCUUAAUGUCGAUCCAGCUCCUUGGAUAGAAAAUCUCAUUAGCAUAUCCACAAAUGGUUUCUGGGAGACAGGAUGGCUGUAUGCUAGGGUGCAGGACCGCCUCACAUUAAGCUGCAAUGGCAGGCUUAUGUUAGUGUCUCCCUGGCAACCUGUAAUAGGUGACAAGCAUCAGAUACUGUGUGUAACUCCUAUUGCGGCUGCCUAUAAUUCGACGGCAAAGUUCUCAGUGAGAGGCUUCAACAUAGUUCAACCAACCACAAAAUUACUCUGUAUAUUUGAUGGGAAAUAUUUAGUCCAAGAAGCAACACAAAAACUACAUGAUGAUACUAGGAUUCAGCAAGGCCCUAAAUGUCUGACCUUUUCUUGCUCCUUCCCUAGUACAAGUGGAAGGGGGUUCAUAGAGGUUGAAGAUUAUGAUCAGAGCAGCAUUUGCUUCCCCUUUGUUGUCGCCAAAGAAUCUAUAUGUUGUGAGAUUAGAAUGUUGGAGGAAAAACUGAAUAUAAUUGCAUUUGGUGAUGCCUUGGAAGGAAGAGAAGAUCUGAUGGCUUCUCGCAGCCAAGCCUUAAAGUUUCUACAUGAAAUAGGGUGGCUUCUCCAAAGGAGCGACACACGAGCUACAUCAUCCAAGGCUCCGCAACAACAUCAUGCGGUGGGCUUUUCUGCUGCAAGAUUUAGGUGGCUCCUGUCCUUUGCGGUUGAUCAGGAAUGGUGCGGCGUGGUAAAGAUGCUGCUGGACACCUUGUUCCAGGGCAAUAUCGAUGUCGCCUCACCAGUUGAGUUUGUCCUGGGAGAGAGCUUAGUAUUCGCAGCUGUCAACAAGCGGUCGAAGCCUUUGGUUGCCUGCCUAUUGAGAUACACAACGAAAUCUGCACCGGUGGGCGGUGGAGCCGUGGCCACACCAGCCCAGUUCUUGUUCACGCCUGACAUGAUUGGUCCAUCGGAUAUUACACCUCUCCAUGUUGCAGCUACCAUCACUAAUGCUGCUGCCGUUUUGGAUGCUCUGACUGAUGAUCCCCAACAGCUGGGGAUCAAAACGUGGAAGAAUGCCCGCGAUGCUACUGGGUACACUCCAGAGGAUUGCGCCCGGCGGAGAGGACAAACCUCCUACAUCCAGAUGGUCCAGAACAAAAUCAACAGCAGGUUACCUGCAGCCCAUGUGUCUGUUCCCAUGACCACCACUGGUACCGCCGCAGAAGCAGGUCGGCCGAGAUCAACUGAUCAGACCGUAUUUGAAUUCGAGAAAAGCCCACCGGGAUGCAGACAGUGUGUCCAGCUCCAGCACAUUGCCUACCGGCCCUGCCCAAACAGGUUCUUGUCGAACAGGCCUGUGGUGCUAUCCCUGGUCGCCAUUGCCGCUGUCUGUGUCUGCGUAGGGUUGAUAAUGCAGAGCCCGCCGGUCGUCCGCGGUGUGCCAGGCCCUUUUCUCUGGAAUCACAUCCGUUGGGGACCCACUUGA